UCGGGUGUACCUUGUUUUCCGGAUAAGAGCGGAAACAAGCUCAGGCCACGCGACAUAGUUGACGCGUGUGAGCCCGACAGAGUAGGCCAGUUUUAUUGGGGGUCGCUACGUUGGCGUAUAUGUAUCGGCAAUUAGGAUUCUCAAGUCGGACUGAUGCGGCAGGUAUCACUGGAUGUCUGACGUUGUUACAGACCUGGAUAUACGAGUAUUUUCCUGCGUUUCGACCACACCGCAACCCAGUUCCUAUUGGGGAUGGCCAGCCACGUCCCUGUGCGUGGAGUCCGCGAGUCGAGAAGAAGUCCAUUGACCGCCUGCGAUCGAUACGGUUAUCGUUUGAUAGGAUGUCCCCAUUAGAGGUGAACUGGAUGCCUUUCGGCCAAAACCCUAGUAAUAGGGUACCUAGGACCCUGUACACAGGACUGAUUCAGUAUCGUGAGAUCGUAGAGGCGUACAUGCCGCAGCGCUGUCUUCGCCAGCUUGGAUUUGUCCAAGUUGUUCCUCCUCCACCAGCAUGGCCUAGUAAGGAGGUCCGAUUUGCAUCGUCGAAGGAGUACGUCGUCCAAUGGCCGGCAAGCAUGAUUGCCACGUGGGAGCAGUUUCCGAUGGUUGCCCGCAUAUGGAUUGAGCAGCUGCUGCGGCCGCUAACUAGGGUGACUGCCAUGUGUGACUAGCACUACAUGGAGUGGUACAACCGACACUCGCACCCGAGGUUGAUCAGAGACCUCCACCAUGGCGACGACGCCGAUGAUGAUGAUGUGCCACCGGCCACUACCAUGGAUGCGUGGAUGAGAAAGAUGAUGCAGGUGGCACACAUAAUUUUUGAAAAAAGAGACAGCAUGACGGAUGCAUUAGGCAGAACGACGAUUGAUGAUAUGGAACGGGCUCUUGAGCAGUGGCAGUGGGCGUCACAAAGGGAUUACUAAAUGAACAUUUUGUACAUUAUCAUAGUUGUUUGUAAAAGUUGACAUUAUCUUUUUAGUUUGUAACAUUUGAAAUUUUUAUUUUAAGUUUUUAGAAUUUGACAUUAUCUUUUUAGUUUUUAAAAUUAUUAUUUUAAGUUUUAAAUUAGUGUGCAUGCAAGAUAUAAAUUAGAAUAUGAAAAUUAAAUAAAUGGAAAAAAAAUAGCAAUAACAAUACAAGGUCACAUAGAAAAGGUAGGUGUACACGGGAAAAACUAAAU